rnacentral:rRNA from 1 species
UACGGGAGGCUGCAGUCGAGAAUCUUUCGCAAUGGGCGAAAGCCUGACGAAGCGACGCUGUGUGAGUGAUGAAGGCCUUAGGGGUCUGUAAAGC